GACGAACGCUGGCGGCGUGCUUAACACAUGCAAGUCGAACGGAAAGGCCCUGCUUUUGUGGGGUGCUCGAGUGGCGAACGGGUGAGUAACACGUGAGUAACCUGCCCUUGACUUUGGGAUAACUUCAGGAAACUGGGGCUAAUACCGGAUAGUAGCUCCUGCUGCAUGGUGGGGGUUGGAAAGUUUCGGCGGUUGGGGAUGGACUCGCGGCUUAUCAGCUUGUUGGUGGGGUAGUGGCUUACCAAGGCUUUGACGGGUAGCCGGCCUGAGAGGGUGACCGGCCACAUUGGGACUGAGAUACGGCCCAGACUCCUACGGGAGGCAGCAGUGGGGAAUAUUGAAAAAUGGGCGGAAGCCUGAUGCAGCAACGCCGCGUGCGGGAUGACGGACUUCGGGUUGUAAACCGCUUUCGCCUGUGACGAAGCGUGAGUGACGGUAAUGGGUAAAGAAGCACCGGCUAACUACGCG
rnacentral:rRNA from 1 species